UCAUUUACGCUUGGCUCCUGGAGAGGGUAUUUCAGUUCUAAGUGUCCUUUGAUAACAGUGAGAAACACCUGCUGAGUAAGAGGAAAAAGCUUGUGCAGACAGGCUAACUCAAGGAAACCAGAGACAUCUCUGACUAGUGGAGAAGCAGCCACGAGCAGGCAAGGACAGGAAAGAUUUAUGUGCUUGAAGGCUGUCUUAUACAAAGUGUAUCAGCAGCAGAGAAGAGGUGUGAAUUUGAAUCCUGGCUGAAGCUGGAAAAGAGAGGAUGAGAUUGGCUGGUGUGGGACACUAAGGACUCAGCUGUGAAAACGGAUGGAAGAGACAUCAUCCUUGUGUACUACACAAAUGUUCAGGCAUCAAAGCUAAACUGUAAACCCAAGGAGAUGAUGAUUCCAAGUUUAAUGGAAAACCAAGAGCGUACUAUGGAUUACACUCACAAAACACACUUAUUUCCAGAAGAGUAAAACAUCAAGUGCCAAAAAAACCCAGAGACAUUUAGUGCCAAACUGCAGUUCAGUGGCAAUUUUUCCCAUACCAUAAGGAACCUGCUGCUGGGAACACUUCAUCUCAACUCCCGACACCCCUAGUAGGGUACCAUCUUAUCAGCUCAUGAGCAUUUAUAGCCUAUGUUGGCAUUUAGUCUGUCACUCACAUGCCAUUUUUCUGGUUCUCUAGUGUUCAUUGGUGGUCUGUUCUUCAAAAAGUUUGGUCGUUUCUGAGCCACACCAUGGCAGUGCAUGAGCAGCAGAAGCCUUCAACAGUGGUGGGGGAAGUUUUUAUCCUCUGACAGCAGGAUAGAAGGCUCCAUUUUCUCCACGAGUAACGUGCUGGGAGAACCUUGUGUCAAAACUGAGAUUCGGAGAGCUGUAGUUGACCAAGAAUCAUAAAUGAGGCAGAGCAGAAGUAUAGAUUAACAUUGUUCACAUGUGAUUCCUUCAACUAUUUUUUCUUUUUUGAUAUGUUGUCCCAGACACCAUGAAAACGAUAAUUUCAUGACUUGUCGUUAUUCAAAUCAAACAAAUAACAACAAAACAAACAAAAAAUAUAAAGGGCAAAAUGGCUGUGUUCUCCUUGAAAUGUCUUCACAUCCCACAUCUCUCAGAUACAGAAGCUGAGGAUCAAUUCUUUCUUUUACACCAAAAAAAAAAACAAAAAAAAUCAAGUCACUUUCAGUGCUUGUUUUGGAAAGACAAACAUCAUUUGGAAGAGCUGGCAGACAAACAUCAUUUGGAAGAGUUGUCUUGUUGCAUUUGUCAAAAAAAUAUUCUUACAGUGUCAUUCCCUUCUCAGUAAUUGAUUGUAGUAACUUCAACUGGAUUUUUUUUUUUAACUUGGAAUUAUUUUCUGCUAUUACACAACCAACUUGGAGUUGGCUAUUGAUUCAUUCAAAUCAGUUCAGUAUUGUUCCAGACUUCUAAGAAGAAAAUAUUUUUUUCCACCAGCAUAUCUUGAAGAAUGUAAUUUGGAAUUGUAAAGAUUCCCCAAGCCCCAACCCACUUUACUAUGGUUUAUGAGUUCCUCCUAACUUCACUCAUCUGGAGAAAAGUGAGGCACGUAAGACUCCAGUAAACACUACUUAUUAGUAGUUACAACAAUCCAGAAAAGUGAUGUCAUUGAAAGUUCAGUAUUUUGGACCAACACUUACACAAAUGUUCUGCUCAAGUGUCUCUGCGAAUUAUAAACAAAGUCCAAUGGGAUUUUUUAGGAAUGAGAAGGUUUUCCUGGAAAAAACAUUAGCAAUACUGAAAGAGCUCGAUGGUAACUCUGGGGGCUCAUUUUGAUGAAGGUGAAGAUGAGGAGGUGACCAGCUGUCUCAGAGUCAUUGAACAGGAUCAGAAAAUCUUAUUGUUAUGUUGCUGAUUUUGGCAUUAGCAUUCUGGCCUGCUAUGAUCUGGAACCUUUUCUUCACUGGCCAGCCCUGAGCACAGACUGUUUUCAUUUUACAUCGUAUUUGCAGUAUUUGUAAAACUGUUAGCUUGUGAGCACAUUUUCUGACAUCUAGAGUCAAGUGCUGCCGGCACUGAAGAGUCUCAUGAGAGCAUCCUGUAUAAUAUAGGUACGCGUACAUAACGUUUCUGCAUAAACCAGACAUAUAGACAUCCUCUCGCCUUUCCUCUGCUGUGAAGCUGGUGUUCAUUUGCCUAAUUCAGUGUAUAGUCAUUAACUUAUUUUUAAUGCGUACAUUACUUCUUCUGUCAUUUUAGCCAGCGUUUUGCUCGCACACUACCAAUCAUGUCAGUUGAAGUUCCCUGUAUUUGAUACAUCAUUUUAAGAAUACAAUUAUCAUUUUCUGCUGGCUUCUCUGCCACUUUGAGUCAUAAAAUUAAAUUUACCUUUAAAGCCAGGAGAUUAUUUAUGAAACGCUAAACACGAAGCUCUCCCUCCCCCCAGAAUUGACUCAGACAAGAACAAAAGGAGUAAUCAUGGGUGAUAAUUGCAUUGUCUCAUUCCAUUUUCUUCUGAAAUCUUAUUAUAGCUGUCCCAAGAAAAUAUGCAUUAUACAAUCCUAGUAAUGAAAUAGUAAUUCUAAAAGCUAUUUGUCUAUAAAAAUAUAGAGUUGAUCCUUUAGUCCUUGGAAAUAGGAGGUAAUUGCAUUGGUGUGCCAUUUCAUAGAGACCAUCACUAGAAUAUUAAAUCCAGGAUCAGAGUACUGACUUUUCUAUCUCGUAAAGCGUUGGAAGAAUAGAAACACAUCAAAAGAAUUGCAGAGAGAGUAUUCCAGCAAAGAGAUGAUUUCUCAGUCUGUGCGGUUUUGUUUCUGAUAGAAAAAAUGCAUGCAAGAUCCAAUGGCAAAAAAACUGAUUAAAAUUCCAGAGGCUGAGGCAAAAGGGUCUGACAAGUUGAUCACCCUGGUACCUUCAGGCCUUAAAAUCUACUAAUCAGAUACAUAGGUUAGGAAAACAAUAGGAUAUUUUCAAGAAUGGAUCAGAUGUACAUUAUCCAAAGUACAAGUUUGGAUCCACUUUGGUACAACAGAAAGUCCAACAGCUGAGAUGUUGACAUUGAUAUAAGUCUGAUGAGAGGUAUCAUCACAUGGAUAUCUAUGAUGCAGAUUAGCAGUAGACCAGUAAAAAUACACAAACAUGUCAUAUGCUCAUGUAUUUUUAACAGAAAGAACCAACCAUGCUCAUCUCAUGAACGAGAGAGAAAACAACCCAGAAUUUAGUUAUUGUAUAUAUACAAACAGAAAAAUUCCUAAUUGUUAAUCCACUCAAACUAAAUAAUAAACUGAUACAUAUAAUCUCUUUAGACUACAAUUUAAUUCUGCUUGCUGCUACAGUAAGGAGUUCCAUAAAUGUAGAUGUAUGUAGGAAAAUAGUAUCUGGGAAUUUAUCUUAUUGAACACAGACCGCCGUAUAUAUGCAAGUCCUUGUAUGUAGAAUAGAAAUUACAGAAAUCCUUUAUUUUUGAGGGAGAGGGGGAAAUAAACCAGCUCAAAUCCCAGUGAUGUAGUGAAGUGCUACAGAACCACCGUGGUCUCUCAGUUCUUGUCAGAGGGUGAAUAGUACAAAAAUAGCGAGAGAGAACCACAGAUAACUUAAGGUUGACCUUAGGUUAUGGAACUGAUAAAGUGUUAAGUAUAGUUAAAAUAAAUACUUGGUUGUAUUUUAUUUUUCCAUGGAAUACUGUAGGGAUAAGGGCAAGUGAAUUCUUAAUGCAGGAGAACAGCACGUCUUCUAGCAGUCUCAAGAGAGUAAUAACAGUCUUACAUAAAUUACAAAAAAAGGAAAGUAUAAUCGUAAGCUCUGUUCCAAAAUUAUUCUAAGUGUCAGCUUUAGAUUCUGUGCCUUUAAAAGCUGGGAGUUUAGCAAAAAUGUCAAGCUGCGUAAUUUCCCGCUGGCUAGAAAAAUACUGCUGAUGUUUUUUCAAGUGGAACUGAGCAAAAAUCCUUAUCUCAUUCAAACAGCAAGUACUUUUCUUUCUGUGUCCUACAAUAAGACAUCAGGUGAAUUCCUUGCUUUUCCUAAUAUGCCAAACUGGGACAUCCUGGCUCCUUAUUUCUACUGCUGACUUUUAAGAGCUGCCCUGUGCCGCAUAUUUUGGUUGCAAGACUCAACAUUAAUCUAUAAAAAAAAAUCCAGAAUUCAAUUACUAUAAGCUCAACACAGACUCAUUCAUCCACAACUUCAGCUAUGCAAAAUUCCAGGACUCAUCCAUCCAGCAAGGCUUGAACAACAAAACCAAAACAUUUCUCCUGGACUUUUCAGAUUGUAUCACACAACGAGAUGAAACGAAGCCCAAAACGAACAGACACAGGAUAAAGGUGUCCCUUGCAGCUCAAAGCCACGGUCUUUAAAUCGGUGCAUCCAUCAGCUGGUAACAGUUUCAGAGACAAAAUGGAGAGGGACACAUGUCAGAUUUGAACAUCACAGGGUUUUUGAUUUGAAGUGUGUAGAGUGAGGCAGAAAGCCAAAGUGAGGUCUUUGUAGAGUACAACAGUCAUCAUUUUGUUCAAAAGAAAGCCUAAAAAAGAAUUAAGCAAAUAGGAAACGCUACUCAGCCUCAUAUAGUUUUGAGCAUGAAUUUUUAGAAUCCUAGAAUCGUUAAGGCUGGAAAAGACCACUAAUGUCACCCUGUCAGACCACUGAUGCAUCCCCACCAUGCCCACUAACCAUGUCCCUCAGUGCCACAUCCACACGGCUCUUGAACACCUCCAGGGAUGGUGACUCCACCAAAAGGGAUUCUGCUUUGAGGACCUUCAAGCACAAUGAUACUGAAGCUGUAAAUAGACGGUAUUGAGAACAGAAGCACCAGAAAUAAAAAGGGACUCAGAAAUAGCUCAGAAGCGGGCCUUAUCAGAGACUUUGGACUUAUCUCCAUGAGCACAUGCUGUCAUUUUGGCAGCUGGCACCCCCACCAAGCAUUAUUCUUAGGUUUGCAAUCUUAGUAACACAUUGGUCUGGUUGAGCUACACUUGUAUGUAGCAGAUCUGGGCGAUCUAGCUCACCUGAAACGAGGAAGGGAAAAAACAGCACAGAUAUUGUUGGCACAGCCCAUCUCUGGGAAAACAACAAAAUUAUUAGAGAAGAAAUGUGUUUUCAGUUGCCUCAGGGCUUGUGUUGAACCUCUGGACCUAGGAUGACUCUUACAGCCAGGACCAAAAAUUAUUCAGAAUUCUCUUGGUACAACUGAAUUCAACCAAAAGGACAAAGGGUGUGCAGGUUCAGAAGCAGCAAGAAAACGGUGUCCAAAUGUAGCCCGUGCCACUUUUUUUGGAAGAGAAAAACUACUUUCCAGCUCAACCAAGGCUCUCGUAUCCCUGCUGCUCAGAGCCUCCCACUGCCGUGUGGGCAAACACGAGACCUGACAGUUAUUUGCAGCAGAAAAUAAAAGAACAAAGAGAGGUGCUGGGGAGAGUUAUUGCGAUCUCCUGACAGCCCAAACGAGAUGAGAUCGGGCAGAAGCGCCCUGGCACUACUUACAGCAGGAAAGUCUAGAAUGCAUUGUUCAAAAACUAGUAAGUUUAGAGGAAGAGUAUUUGGAUCGGAUAAGUAAAUAUGAUUUUUUUAAUUUACUUUUUACCUUUUGAUGAUGAUAUAUUUUCAGAGACAGCGCUCCAACACAAACCAAGUGACCUGACCUAUCAAUAAAAUCAAACAAAUUAAAAAAUUCUGCAAGUACAAAGCAGCUGUAGCUGAGCUGCACAGGAAAAGAAAACACUUGGAAACUGUGCGUAAAUUGUGGAUACUGAACCAUGUUAUGUUUCUGAAAAGAAUCUUGGCGAAUGAAUUUAACAUAAUGACACAUUCAUUGCAAUGUACUUCACAAUGCACUCUGUAGAAAGGAGCCACAGUAAACGUGAUUCAAAAGGAAACAAACAACAGAAACCACCACACAAAAAGCAUUAACUGCCCUAAUACAGCGACUACUCAUGUACCGGUGGGGCUGGUUGUUUUGGUUUCUGUUUUCCUGACUUACACCCGGAGGCAGAGAUCUGCCCAUCCUCCCAGGUGUGCGGUGCCAGGCAGUGAGGGCUGACAAAGCGUGCUGGCUGUCUUCCUUAAGAGAAAUGUUCCCAUUAAAAUGUGGUCUUGGGCUGCGCUGGAACAAGAUGUUUCAUCUUUCCUUGU